ACGCGGGACGCGGCGGGGGAGGGGGCUCUCUCGCGAUACUUGCCGCUUCAUCCUCGGGGUCCCCCCCAUGGGGUCCCAACUGCGCCCGUCUGUUAAGAGACUCCUUCCGAGGACCAGCUCCUCUCCCAGCCAGCGCCGGCACCAGGCUCCCGAAGGCGCAGCCGGGUCGCGCCGCCACCUCGCGGGGUGCCCGCCCUGGGAUGGAGGAGGGGGCGGGGGUAGUCGUACAUAUUGAGAAGAUGACACCCCCUUUCCUUGAAAGCCUCGUAUUGAAUUUAAUUUAGCUGGGCCCCUUUUCCAGACGCUUGGGCGGGUUCUCAGCCUUGGUAUUCCAAAACUGGGCACUCUCAUCCUCUCAGCACACCCAGCGAGGCCUCUGAUGGGAGCCAGGUGCACGGAGCUGUGAGCCUUGGGGACCGUGGCGGUCCCAGAAGGCGUCAUGGGAGGCUGUCGGCGGCCCGCUGGGUGCGGGGUGGACCCCGCCGAGAGGCGCGAGAGUGAGGUCUGGGCCGCGUUGGCCCGCGGGAGCCACAGCAGCAUGGACGACGUGGCCGUCGUGAAGGAGGGCUGGCUGCACAAGCGAGGUCAGUGCCCGCGGGCCGGCCCGGCUCAGGGCCCCGAGUUGGGCCCGUGGCUCCUCAGGGGCUGGAGGCAGUGUGGGCUGUGGCUGCUGGACCAGCAGGGCCUCCCUGAACCCUGGGAGCAGCCCAGGGGCACGUCCGGGGCCCGACAUCCCUGCGGCCUGGGGGACACAAGCCCCCGCGGGGCCUCCUGGCUGGGAACGUGCACCCCAGGCCGGUGUGCAGCCCGUGGAGCUGCCGCCUGGCCCAGGCUGCGGGCGGGGAGAACCACCCGCUUUCCUGGAAGGCAGCAAGGACUGGGGCCUGUCCAAAGCCUGGCGCACUGGCGGCCCAGGGCACUGCCCGAGGGCUCCUGAGGGCAGGGCAGGGCUGGCGGGCCUGGCCCGGGGCCAGUCCCGGCUGGGCUGUGGGCAGGAGGGGGCUCCGCACUGCCCGGGGCCCGGCGUGCGGCAGGCUCACGCUGGUGCUGCCAGGCCCUGGCCCCUGCCCGGCCUGCCCCCUGCUCGCCCAUGUGCCCAGGGAGGGGCUCUCGGGGAGCUGGUGGGAUGGGAGCUUGUCCCGGGCCCCUCGCCUUGCGGCCCUGCUGCCUCGCUGCCUCCUGUCCCAUAGAGGCCGGACAGGCCCGGGGGGCAGGACAGGCCUGGGGUCGAGGUGUCCGAGGCGUUCAGGCAGGGCGUGCUCUCCUGCUCCAGGUCGGGGGCUGGUUAGUCACCACCUGCUCCCCCAACUUCCCCUUCCUGCAGACCGGCUCCAGCUCUGGCCGCCCCACACCAGCUAGCCGCUAGCCCCCACUCCUCAUGCAUGCCCUCCAGGGACGGUGUCCCCUCUCCACCUCAGGACCCCGCAGGACACUGGGAGGGGACCUCAGGCACAGGUGGGCAGUUGGGGAGCUGCAGCGAGAGCGGGUGUUCUGGGACGCUCAGGAGCCGCCCAGCGGAGCAGGCUGGGAAGCUCGGGAGAGGUGGAGAUGAGACCCCAGGCGCAGCAGGGGCGCGAAGCAGGGGUCACGGAUGUGGUCAGUGUGAGCUUUCAGAGCUCGCUCCAGCAGCGGUCAGGGGCACAGUGCUCGGCCUCUAGACGGAGGUGGGGCAGCUGCAGGGGCCUGUGGUCCGUGGCCGGCCCCCCAGGGCUUCCUGCAGCGGCUGGCCCUCUGGGUCCCCUCCCCCAGCAUUGACCCUUUCCUGGUCUCCCCGCCCCCCCAUCCCUGCCAGGUCCCGCCCUGUCUCCUCACCCCGUCGCCCUCUUUGGGGUCAGGCCUGAGCCUGCCUGGGUCUCUGCCGUCCCCUCUGCGCCUCGCGGAAGCGCAGGCACACACUGGGGUCCAGGGCCUCUGAGCCCUUGACAAGCGUUGGUCGACUGGCUGACCAGGGACUGACCUGGGAGAUGCCUGGGGCUUGGGGCUGCCGGGGCCCCCAGCCCAGCUCCUGGGGUGUCCACUGGCCAGCCCGGUUUGGGUGGAAGCGCCCCUCUGACGCCUGGGUGAGUCUGAGUGGGCCACUCGGGGUGUGUGCCUUCUGGAGGGGCGGGGGCAUCCAGGCAGCGCCCCAUCGCCAUGCCCUUCUCCACGGGCAAGUGUGUUGCGUCCUCAGGCCUUUGUGUCCCCGUCUGUGCGGUGGGAGCAGUCGGGGGCGGGCCCCCGGACCCUGGGCGGAGCGCAGCGAGCCUCAGGCCUGACAGAGGUCCUGCGUCUGCCCUGCCUCUGGCUCUCAUGCCCGCUGGGUGGUGUGCGGCGUGGCGGGGCACGCUGGCCCCUGUGGCCCAGGAGGGGCCGUGCCGCGCGCAGGGGGUGCCCGCGCGCAGGGGGUGCCCGGGUCCUCGCCCACGGCCCCCCCGGGGACCCUGGUGUCACUACCAGCUUGUUCGCUAAUCUGUGCGUCUUCCACAAAUCUGUUCUUCCCCGAAGUGUGGGCUCUUCCUGUGUGCUGCGCUUUGAGGUGAAAGGGCAAAAGGGGCAGAGGUCACAGCCGGGAUCGGGGGAUCCAGAGUGACCCCGAUUCGGGGCUGGAGGGCUGUGGUGGUGCCAUUUCUUGGGCUGCGGGGGGGACUUGUGUUUCCGUCCUGGGGGUCCGCAGGUGGGUGGCUGUGUGCGCCCAGCCCCUCAAAGUGGGCGGGAGGGGGCGGGGGGGGCCGCUCGUGUGUGCCCCCCGCUC
rnacentral:lncRNA from 1 species